rnacentral:rRNA from 1 species
UACGUAGGGUGCGAGCGUUAAUCGGAAUUACUGGGCGUAGAGCGUGCGCAGGCGGUGAGCUGUGUCCGAUGUGAAAGCCCCGGGCUUAACCUGGGAAUGGCAUUGGAAACUGGCUCGCUGGAGUGUGGCAGAGGGGGGUGGAAUUCCGCGUGUAGCAGUGAAAUGCGUAGAGAUGCGGAGGAACACCGAUGGCGAAGGCAGCCCCCUGGGCUAACACUGACGCUCAGGCACGAAAGCAUGGGGAGCGAACAGG